GCGUCCAGCCUCAGCCUCGCGGAGCUGGGAGGAGUCGCCUCGUAGCCGAGGUCCGGGAGUUCCCACGAGACUCCAGACCUCUUCUGUGCCAGCAGCUCCCCGCAGCGGAGUGUAUGUCUGCGGGGCAGAAAGCCACGAGGGCUCCAGGCUGAAGAGGAGGUCAUGUUUAAAUUACAGAAAAGCAAAGAGGGCAAUGUUAAUGGCAUCUUCCUUGGAUGGUCUCAGGAGCACGAGCUAUUCCUCUCCAAAGAGCUGCAGGCUUUCAACAGCCUUAUUAGAUGAAGUCUCACUGUCACCCAGACUGGAGUGCA